rnacentral:rRNA from 1 species
AUGGGGAAGCCGCGGGCGGUGCUGGCCCUGGCUGCGGCGGCGGCGGCAUUGCUCCUCUCCUUCUUGGCCGCCGCCGUAGGGGGGCAGGGCGCCGGGAGGAUCCAAGGUAUGGGUGGAUGCGCGAUGCACCUGAUUGGUCUGAGAAAUCCGUGGUUUCCGUUGAUGUCCUCUGGCCAACAGAGUAUAGGAAGUGCUGAUGAUGACUCUGCCAGGGGGCUCAAGGUGUAUAUGUAUAUCUAUGGUCUCCCUGAAAAAUACAACAAGCCGCUGAAGAAGGAACCUAGGUGCCUGAACUACAUGUUCGCCAUGGAGAUCUUCAUGGAACAGUUUCUGUUGCCGAGUGUGAUCCAGAUUUUAAUCCCGAGGAUGCAAUUUGGUUGUAUACAUGCUAUUCAGAUGUGCAGCGCAAUUGAGCAGAUUACGACGAAAUGA